AGCGAACGCUGGCGGCAAGCUUAACACAUGCAAGUCGAACGCCCCGCAAGGGGAGUGGCAGACGGGUGAGUAACGCGUGGGAACGUACCCUUUACUACGGAAUAACUCAGGGAAACUUGUGCUAAUACCGUAUGUGCCCUACGGGGGAAAGAUUUAUCGGUAAAGGAUCGGCCCGCGUUGGAUUAGCUAGUUGGUGGGGUAAAGGCCUACCAAGGCGACGAUCCAUAGCUGGUCUGAGAGGAUGAUCAGCCACAUUGGGACUGAGACACGGCCCAAACUCCUACGGGAGGCAGCAGUGGGGAAUAUUGGACAAUGGGCGCAAGCCUGAUCCAGCCAUGCCGCGUGAGUGAUGAAGGUCUUAGGAUUGUAAAGCUCUUUCACCGAUGAAGAUAAUGACGGUAGUCGGAGAAGAAGCCCCGGCUAACUUCGUGCCAGCCGCCGCAGUAA
rnacentral:rRNA from 1 species